CCGUCUUCUCCGUCAGUCGACUCCUUAUUGGCUGCAGCACUGAAGCAUCUGCGGCUCGCGCUGUGCCAGCUGUCCUCGCGCACUCGGCUGGUGCUGGGCAACGGAGAGAGGCUCCUGCUGAGGAGGAUCUGGGAACCUGGAAAUAAAGGGACAAUGUCUACCAACAUGGGGUCGAUGCGUAUCCUCAUCAAGGGGGGGAAGGUGGUCAAUGAUGACUUCACUCAGGAGGCAGACGUCUACAUCGAGAACGGCAUCAUCCAGCAGGUUGGAAAGGAGCUGAUGAUCCCAGGUGGAGCUAAGGUGAUAGACGCCUCUGGAAAGCUGGUGUUGCCGGGCGGAAUAGACACCUGCGUACAUCUGGAGCAGACUUUUAUGAAUGCCAGCAUCCAGGAUGACUACUACAGUGGGACCAAGGCUGCUCUGAUGGGUGGUACCACCAUGGUGAUGGGUCUGGUCCUGCCUGAGCAACACUGCUCCCUGCUGGAUGCCUACGAGAAGUGCAGAGCUCUGGCUGAUGCCAAGGCGUGCUGCGACUACGCUCUACAUGUCGGGGUGACCUGGUGGGGACCAAAGGUGCGUAACGAGAUGGAGACCCUGGUGAGGGAGCAUGGAGUGAACUCGUUCCAGAUGUACAUGGCCUAUAAAGACAUGAUGAUGCUGAGGGACUGUGAGCUCUACCAGACGUUGCAGACCUGUAAGGACAUCGGAGCCAUUGCACGCGUCCAAGCUGAGAACGGAGAGCUGGUGGCAGAGAGUGCCAAGGAGGCUCUGGAUUUGGGCAUCAGUGGACCAGAGGGAAUCGAGAUCAGUCGACCAGAGGAGCUGGAGUCUGAGGCUACUCACAGAGCCGUCACCAUUGCCAACAGGGCUCGCUGUCCCAUCUACCUGGUGAAUGUGUCCAGUAUGUCUGCCGGAGACAUGGUUGCUGCUGCUAAGAUGCAAGGUAAGGUGGUCCAUGCAGAGGCCACAGUGGCUCAUGCUGUGCUGAAUGGGAUGCAGUAUUACCACCAGGACUGGGCUAAUGCUGCUGCACACGUUGUCGUCCCUCCUCUUCGUCUUGACCCCAACACACCCGGAUACCUCAUGGGCCUGUUGGCAAAUGACACUCUGAGUGUUGUGUCAUCAGAGCACCGUCCAUUUAGCAUCAUGCAGAGAGCUUUGGGUAAGGAGGACUUCACCAAGAUCCCUCAUGGACUCCCUGGAAUCCAGGACAGGAUGAGUGUCAUCUGGGAGAGGGGAGUGGUUACAGGAAAAAUGGAUGAGAACCGUUUUGUGGCAGUGACAAGCUCUAACGCUGCAAAGAUCUACAACCUGUACCCACGCAAGGGCCGCAUCAUCCCCGGGGCUGAUGCUGAUGUGGUGGUCUGGGACCCGGACGCAACAAGGACCAUCUCUGUGACCACUCAGGUGCAGGGCGGAGACUUCAACCUGUACGAGGGGCAACGCUGCCACGGUGUUCCCCUGGUGACAAUCAGCCGAGGGCGUCUGGUGUGUGAGAACGGUGCGUUCAUGUGUGCUGAGGGGUCUGGAAAGUUCUACCCACAGCGCACCUUCCCUGACUACCUCUACAAGAAGAUGGUGCAGAGAGAAAAGACUCAGGGUUAUAAAGGAGUAUCCAGGGAUCCAUACUCUGGUGAUGUCGUCAAGGUAGCAUUAACCCUGAAGAAGGAGCUUGGUUUGGGCCCCAUAGAUGGAGAGACACCCAAAGGGCUCAGCGCUGCAAGCCGAGUGCACCAGGGGGUCCGAGACCUCCAUGAGUCCUCCUUUAGCCUCUCAGGAUCUCAAGUUGAUGACCACAUCCCGAAAAGGUCCUCAGCUCGGAUCCUGGCUCCUCCUGGUGGUCGCUCCAGUGGUAUCUGGUAAAUGCCAGUCCUGGAGCCUCAACCGUCCGACCAUCCUUGUUUUGUAAAACUCAGAACAACCAGGAAAACUGCACUGAUUUUCAAUCACAGAAUUAGAUUUUGAACGGAAAAUAAAUUCAAGCACGUUUCUGUGAUUGGUGAAGACCUAAGUGAUGAUCGGUGAUCUGCCAAAGUGACUUUUAAAAGAUCUAAAUUGUCUAUUAAUUGGAGUGACUGAGCUGAUUAAUUACAGGAGAGUGAAGGGCUACCUGUGAAUUUUAAAAAACGUUUACCAAAUUUAAGCUGAUCAUACUAACAUUGACAAAGUCUGCUCAUUAUCACCCUGCUCGUAAAGAAACGAAAACUGUGAAAGAUCAAAACCAGUACAGUUUUUGAUGGUUCAUCUGAAGUGAUGUCGACUGAAUUAUUUAAAAAAAGGUAAAACUGGAUUCAGUGAAAUAUCUAUUAAACCCCUGUCACACACACACAACCAUACAGUACACUUUAGACACCAUAGCUUUAGACUCAUCGAGACGUGCGUGGAUUCUGUGUGUGAUUUAACACCCGCUGUGCUCGGCUUCCUGCCACGCCGUGGGCUCCUCUAACAGUGUUUUUAUUUCCAACGGAUGAACUGUGCUGUGUGGUGAUGAAAUCCAACUGCUUCUAAACACCGUGUGAUCACACUGCUGCACUCUCCAAAUACAGUCAGACUUUUCCAUCCUUAUUUUUUCACUGCCUCUGACUGAACAACACUCAUAUCCCAGAAACCGUAGACCCUGCCAAGUGCUAGAAGAGAAUUGAAGAGUAAAUGUGCCAAUGUGACUCACCUGUGCCACACCCACACCCAUGCAUGAAGAGCACCACACGGAGACAGAGGAGGGAAACGCCACAGGCUCACAACAACUGGUGCUGUUUUUUUACGAUAACCUACAAUGAAGUUCUUUUACUGUUGGAUGGUUCUGUUGUUUUGAAGGCACUGUGACUGGUCAGCGCUGUGUGUGUUUGUAGAUUCUUGUUGUGUUGGACAGUGAACCUGUUGAAUCUGUGAAGUGGCCGCUUGUUUCUUACCACAAGAGUAACAGAAAAAGAAUAAAGUGAGAAAAAAAUAACA